GCAUUGGUGGUUCAGCGGUAGAAUUUUUGCCUGACAUGUGGGAUGCCCAGGUUUGAUUCCCAUCCAAUGCA